rnacentral:rRNA from 1 species
UAGGGAAUAUUGGUAAUGGGCGCAAGCCUGAACCAGCAACGCCGCGUGGAGGAAGAAGGUCUUCGGAUUGUAAACUCCUGUCAUCUAGGAGCAAGGCAUGGUGGUGAAUAGCCAACAUGAUUGAUAGUACUAGAAGAGGAAGGGACGGCUAACUUCGUGCCAGCAGCCGCGGUAAUACGAAGGUCCCGAGCGUUAUUCGGAAUCACUGGGCGUAAAGGGUGCGUAGGCGGUCGAGUAAGUCGGGUGUGA